GAGGGGGCUCAGGUGUGACCUGGCCAGGUGAGGGGGGGCUCAGGUGUGACCUGGCCAGGUGAGGGGGGGCUCAGGUGUGACCUGUCCAGGUGAAUCUCUCAGACCCACCUGAGCCCCCCUCACCCACCCCCCCCCAACC